rnacentral:rRNA from 1 species
AGCGAACGCUGGCGGCAGGCCUAACACAUGCAAGUCGAACGAACCCUUCGGGGUUAGUGGCGGACGGGUGAGUAACACGUGGGAACGUGCCUUUAGGUUCGGAAUAACUCAGGGAAACUUGUGCUAAUACCGAAUGUGCCCUUCGGGGGAAAGAUUUAUCGCCUUUAGAGCGGCCCGCGUCUGAUUAGCUAGUUGGGGAGGUAAUGGCUCACCAAGGCUACGAACAGUAGCUGGUCUGAGAGGACGACCAGCAACAUUGGGACUGGGACACGGCCCAAACUCCUACGGGAGGCAGCAGUGGGGAAUCUUGCGCAAUGGGCGAAAGCCUGACGCAGCCAUGCCGCGUGGAUAAUGAAGGUCUUAGGAUUGUAAAAUCCUUUCACCCGUGAAGAUAAUGACUGUAGCCGGAGAAGAAGCCCCGGCUAACUUCGUGCCAGCCGCCGCAGUAAGAC